rnacentral:rRNA from 1 species
GGACUACUAGGGUUUCUAAUCCUGUUUGCUCCCCUUGCUUUCGCGCAUUAGUGUCAGGAAUAAACUAGAAAAUCGCCUUCGCCACCGGUGUUCUUCCACAUAUCUACGCAUUUCACCGCUACACGUGGAAUUCCAUUUUCUCCGUCCAUCCUCUAGAAAAGGAGUUUUGGAUGCGGUUUCGAGGUUGAGCCUCGAGCUUUCACAUCCAACUUUCUUUCCCACCUACGCGCUCUUCACGCCCAAUAAAUCCGAUUAAUGCUUGCACCCUCCGUAUUACCGCGGCUGCUGGCAC